CAAACCUGCUGGGGAUAGACCAACUCUCAGGCCUGCUGGGGAGAAUACUCUUCACGACCCUACCGGGGAUUUGCAAUCAAUCCCAGAACUGACUGCUGAUGUAACCCUGAUCUUACUUCGCUGGGGAGACGAACCCUAAAUCUGUCUUGGAUAAAAAUCAACCUCUCACACUACUGGGCAGUGUUGAAACUCUCUUCUGAAUAAAUUGUGGCUCCUGCUUAGCCAGCAAUCAAAAGAUAAAAUCCUGCAAACAGCAAUACAAACAUGC
rnacentral:lncRNA from 1 species